rnacentral:tRNA from 1 species
AAUGAAGUGCCUGAUUAAAGGAUUACUUUGAUAGAGUAAAUCAUGUAUAUUAAUACCUUCAUUA